GUGUUUGCUUCGGCAGCACAUAUACUAAAAUUGGAACAAUACAGAGAAGACUGCGCAAGGAUGACAUGCAAAUUCGUGAAGCGUUCCAUACUUAA
rnacentral:snRNA from 1 species